ACAUGUGGGAGUCAUAUACCCCCCAGGGGUGACCAUCGUUUCUCACCAAGUUCACUUCAGCUGCAGACAAAUGGCGCAAUGAUUCAAAGAGGGCACGUUGACACAGCCAGGGACUCACGCGCAAUAACAUGCACGCGCGGCCCGCCCGACACAGUGAGCCUUCACUCUCUGCUCAGGGGUCUUUGAAUCAUGGGAGUUGUUGUCUUCAUCACCAUUGCCAUCAUUGCAGUCCGCUUCUACCGGUCCGGAUUCCUUCAUCGUUCAUCGUUCAGGAGGUUUUUACCAGGAGCCGAAUAAUCCACAGAGGUCUCCUCCUCUCCAAAACAAACAGACCAGUGAGGAUGACAUCCCCGAAUUUGAUGAACCAGCGAAGCUCUCAUUCUGGCUGGUGGCUUCCGAGGGAGACCCCACAUGAACGGGCUUACUGGACGAGGAGGUGCCGCGUCUAA
rnacentral:lncRNA from 1 species